CAGCAGCCGCGGUAAAACGUAGGUGGCAAGCGUUGUCCGGAUUUAUUGGGCGUAAAGCGAGCGCAGGCGGUUAGAUAAGUCUGAAGUUAAAGGCUGUGGCUUAACCAUAGUACGCUUUGGAAACUGUUUAACUUGAGUGCAAGAGGGGAGAGUGGAAUUCCAUGUGUAGCGGUGAAAUGCGUAGAUAUAUGGAGGAACACCGGUGGCGAAAGCGGCUCUCUGGCUUGUAACUGACGCUGAGGCUCGAAAGCGUGGGGAGUAAACAGGAUUAGAGACCCCUGUAGUCCCUGUCUCUUAUACA
rnacentral:rRNA from 1 species